CCUACGGGUGGCAGCAGUGGGGAAUAUUGGGCAAUGGGCGCAAGCCUGACCCAGCAACGCCGCGUGAAGGAAGCAGGCUCUAGGGUUGUAAACUUCUUUUAUCAGGGACGAAGCAAGUGACGGUACCUGAUGAAUAAGCCACGGCUGACUAAGUGCAAGCAGCGGCGGGAAUACGUAGGUCGCAACCGUUAUCCGGAUUUACGGGGUGUACAGGGCGUGUAGGCGGGAAGGCAAGUCAGAUGUGAAAACAAUGGGCCCAACCUGUGGCCUGCAUUUGAAACUGUUUUUCUUGAGUACUGGAGAGGCAGGCGGAAUUCGUGGGGUAGCGGUGAAAUGCGGAGAUAUUAGGAGGAACACCAGUGGCGAAGGCAGUCUGCUGGACAGCAACUGACGCUGAGGCGCGAAAGCGUGGGGAGCAAACAGGAUUAGAUACCCGAGUAGUC
rnacentral:rRNA from 1 species